CAAGGGGUCUCAAGGCAUUGAAAGAUCGUUUCUCCCUCCUUUGUUCGCUAAGAAACAACUUUUCGACUGGUGGUAGGAGGUUUCUCAAGUAUUCCAUCGCGGAUUGGAGGAUCUCUCCUAUCGAUAGAGUAUGAGGUAUCGAAUCUGAGGGUCUUGCAUGAGCAGUGGAUGCAAGAAAAUGCCUAGUAAGAGUCGCCAUCUCUGGAGAUCCCCCAAUCUCUAUCAUCUUG
rnacentral:lncRNA from 1 species